GACGUAGGGCGCGAGCGUUGUCCGGAUUUAUUGGGCGUAAAGAGCUCGUAGGCGGCUUGUCGCGUCGUCCGUGAAAACCUGCAGCUCAACUGCAGGCUUGCGGUCGAUACGGGCAGGCUGGAGUUCGGUAGGGGAGACUGGAAUUCCUGGUGUAGCGGUGAAAUGCGCAGAUAUCAGGAGGAACACCGGUGGCGAAGGCGGGUCUCUGGACAUUUCCUGACGCUGAGGCACGAAAGCCAGGGGAGCAAACGGG
rnacentral:rRNA from 1 species